CCCUUAGAUGUUCUGGGCUGCACGCGUGUUACAAUCGGGAGUACAACAAGAUUGCAAAUCCUAGUGGAUGAGUGGUUCUUCGAAAUUUUCUGAAGACUGGGAUAGUUGAUUGAAAUUAUUCAACUCGAACGAGGAAUUCCUUGUAAUUGUAAUUCAUUAUAUUGUAAUGAAUACGUCCCUGCCCUUUGUACACACCGCCCGUCGCUCCUACCGAUUGAACGAUCCGGUGAAUUAUUUGGAGUAGCUCUGGAAGUUGCAGAACUUCCUAUGUCACGAAAUUUUGCAAACCUUAUCGUUUAGAGGAAGGAAAAGUCGUAACA
rnacentral:rRNA from 1 species